GUGAAUCAUCAAAUCUUUGAACGCAAAUUGCACUCUCCUCGGAGAGUAUGCCUGUUUGAGGGUCAGCCUAUAAAAAAUCGAAAUCGUUGCUGUUUCCCGGUGACGUUCGUCGGAAAUUGGGUCAUUUUAAAUCUUUUUGGUUUUAAGCGACUUAAAAUUUUCUUUUUGGUUUCAUGAAUGUUUCUAAGAUUUAUUUUUUUACUCGUUUAAGGGUAUCGUUUUUUAUUAGGAGUGACCAUCAUAACGGAUCGCGUCA
rnacentral:misc_RNA from 1 species